CCUCACCCUAAAUACUGAGGCCAAGCAGGGACACCUGUGAAGCAGCCUGGCUAAGAGAGGUAGCUGAGGCUCUGGGAGCUUUGGGCUGGGCCUGCCCAGAUCUAGGGGUUGCCUACAGCAAACCAUGGUUGAGGGAGAAGAACGAGACUGGAAGUCCUAGCAACCUCUGGAGGAGAAGCAGGAGCCCACGCAGGGAUAUACUUCUGGGUCGUUGCUCUGCAAGGAACUGGAGCUCCUCAUGCCAACGCUCUUCUGAAUCAGUGGAGCAAGUUUCUGUGGAGCUGAGAGUAUCAAGAUCUGUUAGGAGAACUUCAGCCAGGAAGCAGCUGCAGGGAAGAACAGUUCUGGCAGUCCCGUACACCAGGGAAGUGCUUCACUUUUGA
rnacentral:lncRNA from 1 species